CCGGAAUCACGGGGCGUAAAGCGCGCGCAGGCGGCCAUUUGCGUCCGGGGUGAAAGCCCAAGGCUCAACCUCGGAACUGCACUCGAAACUGCUGGGCUCGAGUCCCGGAGAGGGUGGCGGAAUUCCCGGUGUAGGGGUGAAAUCCGUAGAUAUCGGGAGGAACACCAGUGGCGAAGGCGGCCACCUGGACGGUGACUGACGCUGAGACGCGAAAGCGUGGGGAGCAA
rnacentral:rRNA from 1 species